GACGAACGCUGGCGGCGUGCUUAACACAUGCAAGUCGAACGGAAAGGCCCUGCUUUUGUGGGGUGCUCGAGUGGCGAACGGGUGAGUACACGUGAGUAACCUGCCCUUGACUUUGGGAUAACUUCAGGAAACUGGGGCUAAUACCGGAUAGGAGCUCCUGCUGCAUGGUGGGGGUUGGAAAGUUUCGGCGGUUGGGGAUGGACUCGCGGCUUAUCAGCUUGUUGGUGGGGUAGUGGCUUACCAAGGCUUUGACGGGUAGCCGGCCUGAGAGGGUGACCGGCCACAUUGGGACUGAGAUACGGCCCAGACUCCUACGGGAGGCAGCAGUGGGGAAUAUUGCACAAUGGGCGGAAGCCUGAUGCAGCAACGCCGCGUGCGGGAUGACGGCCUUCGGGUUGUAAACCGCUUUCGCCUGUGACGAAGCGUGAGUGACGGAAAUGGGUAAAGAAGCACCGGCUAACUACGUG
rnacentral:rRNA from 1 species